AGUGAACGCUGGCGGUAGGCCUAACACAUGCAAGUCGAACGGCAGCACAGUAAGAGCUUGCUCUUACGGGUGGCGAGUGGCGGACGGGUGAGGAAUACGUCGGAAUCUACUUUUUCGUGGGGGAUAACGUAGGGAAACUUACGCUAAUACCGCAUACGACCUACGGGUGAAAGCAGGGGAUCUUCGGACCUUGCGCGAUUGAAUGAGCCGAUGUCGGAUUAGUUAGUUGGAGGGGUAAAGGCACACCAAGGCGACGAUCCGUAGCGGGUCUGAGAGGAUGGUCACCAACACUGAAACUGAGAAACGGUCCAGACUCCAACGGGAGGCAGCAGUGGGGAAUAUUGGACAAUGGGCGCAAGCCUGAUCCAGCCAUACCGCGUGGGUGAAGAAGGCCUGCGAGUGGUAAAGCCCUAUUGUUGGGAAAGAAAAGCAGCAGGUUAAUACCCCGCUGUUCUGACGGUACCCAAAGAAUAAGCACCGGCUACCUUCGG
rnacentral:rRNA from 1 species